CCAGGUUGCGCCGGCUGCCGAAAUGAAGAACUGCUCAGUCGUGGUCAUGCUGCUUGCCCUGACUGUGUUCACGGGCAUCGUGGCCAGAAAAGUGCAACCUGAAUAUGCGAAAAACAUCUGUAUUGGCCACUGGGAAUUCGGACACGGUUGUUCGCAUCAUUACCUGUGUAGUGAUUACUGCGAGAGCAAGGGCUUCGCUUCCGGCGGUUGCGGAGGAGACUACAGCGCAAUGUGCUGGUGCUACAAAAAAUAAUGCAUGUGCACGUUCCUUGUUUCCUCACUUUUUGCGCCUUACUUGCAGUGUCUUCCAUCGGUGGUUCGUUCACGAAUAACGAUGCGAAUAAAAGUACC